AUGGGAUGUAUUAACAUGUCCUUAACAACAACCGCCCCCAAAAGCCCCCAGCACCCACAACAUACAAGUUUAUGAGAAGAUGGAAUUUUCUCACUAAAGCUGUUACUGUGGACAUGGUGGGGAGCUGGGAUGGGGCCCCUGAGGAGCCUGUGUGGAACCAUUGAGCCUCCUGAGUUGAGGUGACAGUGCUGGAUUGUCACAUCUCAGGACUGAUAGAGCAGUGUUAGGUCAGGAUGUUCAUGAAGUGUCGCAGCUGUUUGCAGAGUGGCUGUCACUUUGAAAGCAGCACAGUCAUACUCAUCUUGUCCUUGACCUGUGCCUGCAGCCUCUCCUGCUUUGGUCACAAGGUGUCAGGCCUCAUACACCUGUGUCUUUUCUAGUUUCUCUCAAGAGCCUGGUGGCAGGGAGGUUUCUGGUCUUGCCAAAACCCAACAAAAAGUGUAGUUUUUCCUGCAGCUUUUCAGCUUAUAUAUGUUUUGCCACAGAGAUCUGUGUUUGUCUCUUGGUACUUCUACUUCGUGUGUGACCCUUUCCCCUUUGGGCUAGGAUCUUUUCCCAUUUUCAUGAUGACUCCUCAGAACUUGGUCUUCCAGCCUCCUACCCCCCCUUAUGUUUAUAAUUAAAAUAUUUUUGUUCCAUUUGUUCACUUAGGUGGGUUUUGUCCAUGAAUAGAACCUCCUGACAUCACUCAGAGUCUUGGGUAAUAUCUGUGGUGGGGCAGUAGUAGGUGACAUUUGAGGUGUUGCUGUUUGAGGUGAUGCUGCUUCAUUGACUCUGAAUACCUUCCUGUUCUGUUGAGAUCUUCCGUCUGUGUAGUGCUGCCUUCCUAGCACUGCUGAGAGCCAGCUUGGAAGAGUUUCCAGCUUCUAGAGCAGUACCAGCGGUAGCAGAAAGGAUGAGAUCAAGCCUUUUCUGGCUUCGAGGGUUUGCUCUAUUGCCUGAGUCCUUUCUAAUAGAAAUGUUACUUCUUGUGGCCCAAGAGUUUUGGAUCCAGAGGUCAGCUUGGUUUGAGUGAGUUUUAGAGAUUUAGAUCUGCACACUGACAGGAGGAUCCCAUCAACCAUUACUGCUUCUUGGAACAGUUGGUCACAUCCAUUUGAGGCAAGUGAUUUUCUUCUGGGUUCUUUGGUCUCUGGCCUGUGCUGGAUCAUGAGCCUGGCUUAGCUUAUGUCUCUUGAUCUCUUUAGGGUUCAGGAAAUGAAGAUUUCUUUGGUUUCAUUCCUAUUUUAGGGAAAUAGGAUGUUGUGAUCACUGCUCUUGAAUCUUAAAAUCUGUAGAUUCUCUGAAAUUGGUGGGGUUUUGUAUUCAUGGCUUUUGGCCAUUAGUCUUAAAAGAUGCUCUCAGGGAGAACACUGCCUCCUGCAAUGGCACCUUGUUGGUGACAUCUUGACAGGUAUCAUCACUUAUACUUGCGUAGGCAACACAAAAUCUUGCAGCCUGCCUGUUUGUCAUUCAUGUGAGUACAUCAGUCAUUUAGGAAUUUAAAUCCUUGCCUGUUCCUAGUGGAUUUGUCUUAAAAAAAGUGUGAGUAAAUGCCAGUUAAUGUCACUGCUCCACAACAUUAUGAAACGCCUAAGUGACUGUUGUGUUUUAUUUCAUCUGCAGAAUGUUCAGGUUGAUCCGUCUUUGAACAGUUUCUCUCUCCUUAAUGGGCAGUUUGGAAAAAUUAAUGAUCUGUUCCAGAGUAGCUGGGAUUUCUUUUUAUUCUGCAUUCUCAAGAGAAGCAUCCAACACAUGGCAGGAGGAACAGAGUUAAAAAGAAGAAAGAUUUGCUGCUAAAGUCAAGAAACUUGGAUAUUUAUUACUUAGCACGGACCAACCCUCCAAACUGGUAUUAAAAGACUGAGGUGUAGAAACAGCUGAAAUCAGCUCUGGCAGUACAUCACAUUUCUUUUAGUGAACUGAAGCAACAGCUCAGAUGAUGAAGGAUAGACACUGCGAUGGGCACUAAAGCAUGGACUUGCAGUGUGCACUCUGAUGGCAGGUACUCCUGUCUGGUCCUGGUGGUCUGACAUACCUGGGGAAGGCUUAGGCGCUUGCGUGUCUUAACUGUGGUUUUCUCUAUUUAUUAAUUUUAGUGUUGAUUGAAAUGUUUGUCUUUAUUUAUAGCAUAUCCAGAGCUGUGUUGCAACAGAGAAGGUAAGUUUACAGGUGGGGGCCAGGGGAGGAAGAGUUGACGGACAAGCUCUGGAUAGUUAAUCUUUUCCUGGGUUUUUUUUAUGAUACACAUCCUUAAAGUUUUAUGGACAGCUGUCAAAUUGAUCAGACAGCUGCUGAAACCAUUACAAAAACAAUUUGAGAAGUAGAUUUUUAACUGUUCCUGAAGUAUUUAUUUAUCCUUCAAGAUGUAGACAGAUGCAAAGUCAACCAGUCUGUUGCAGUGAGAUAUUUUUUCCUGUUCAUUUUCUUGAUUGAGAAUUCCUGUUAGUGUAGCACUUGUUGCUAGAAACCAUGAGGCCGGUCAUGCUCAUUUUUCUCUGCGGUGAGUUUUGUGCUCUCCUGCUGGAGCUCAUGCUCUCCUCUCUGUGAUGGGGGAUGGCUGGUUGCUCUUAGCUGUGCUCUAAAGACAAGAAUUCCUGGGUGAGAGGUCAAGUUUAGGUUGUGUUUGUUCUGAGCCCAGUAAAACAUUAGCUACUAUAUAUCUUGAUUCUCUGGUUUGGCUUAUAAAGGACUUGCCUGUGAAUGCACGUGGGUCACCUUGUUUUGGAACGGGGUAAUUAAUUCUGGGUUUCUUCCUUAGGUAACCAAGCAAACAGUCUCAGAUAUGCUUUGCUAGCAGAACCUGUGUAGACAGCAAGGUUUUAUUAUCCCUGGGGGAAAAAUGUACUACAAGGGCAUGAAACCUAAAAUACCUUGAAUGAAAUAUCUUAAUGCCCCAACUUGGAGAAUGAUGUAGACAAUCCUGGAUAUGAAUUUUGUUUUAACCACUCAGUGAAGUUCAGUGUACUAUGUGUACUUCUGCAGGAAUGUGAACAUCCCAGGAAUUGGCUGGCUACCUGAAGAGCCCUGGCACCUGCCUGUUGUGGCAAGGGACUUGAGCAGUGGACGUGCCCACAGUAGCACUUCAGGUGGGUGUGUUACCUGUAUUUGAAGUCUUUUCUAGUUCUCUGCAUUGUACCAGAAACUGCACGUGCCUUGUAACAAUCUGUUGGGUCCUCUUGUAUGUCACUUUUCCUAAUAAACAUCUUUAGAAGUC